rnacentral:snRNA from 1 species
GAGUGCUACAGCUUUUUUAGAAUCUAUCUAGUAGUUCUUCUGACUUUAGCCGGAAGAUCCUU